AUGCAUUUGAAUACUAAUUCGAUUGCUUUGUUGGUGAAGCUUCUGCAAGGAUUCUUGAGUUUUUGCGCGCGUUUGAAAAGGCGACAGACCUCCUCCGUUUGGUAUCCCUUGAGAUCUCUUUUCUAUCUCAUUCUUGCAUCACUUUCAAUCAAUCUUGCCAUGAGAAGUCGAAUAGAGAUGCAUAACUGGAAGUCCUACCGUUGUAGACAAUGUUUGAUCUGA